rnacentral:rRNA from 1 species
GGGUUAAGGAAUUCGGCAAAAUACCCCCGUAACUUCGGGAGAAGGGGGGCCCAGAGGGUGACGGGACUUGCUCCCCGAGCCUGAACGGCCGCAGAGACCAGGGAGAAGCGACUGUUUACUAAAAACACAGGUCCGUGCCAAGUCGCAAGACGAUGUAUACGGACUGACGCCUGCCCGGUGCUGGAACGUUAAGGGGACCGGUUAGCCUCACGGCGAAGCUGAGAACUUAAGCGCCAGUAAACGGCGGUGGUAACUAUAACCAUCCUAAGGUAGCGAAAUUCCUUGUCGGGUAAGUUCCGACCUGCACGAAUGGCGUAACGACUUCUCCACUGUCUCAACCACGAACUCGGCGAAAUUGCACUACGAGUAAAGAUGCUCGUUACGCGCAGAAGGACGGAAAGACCCCGGGACCUUUACUACAGCUUGGUAUUGGUGUUCGGUACGGCUUGUGUAGGAUAGGUGGGAGACUGUGAAGCUGACACGCCAGUGUCGGUGGAGUCAACGUUGAAAUACCACUCUGGUCGUUCUGGAUAUCUAACCUAGGUCCGUAAUCCGGAUCAGGGACAGUGCCUGGUGGGUAGUUUAACUGGGGCGGUUGCCUCCUAAAAGGUAACGGAGGCGCCCAAAGGUUCCCUCAGCCUGGUUGGCAAUCAGGUUUCGAGUGUAAGUGCACAAGGGAGCUUGACUGUGAGACUGACAAGUCGAACAGGGACGAAAGUCGGGACUAGUGAUCCGGCGGUGGCUUGUGGAAGCGCCGUCGCUCAACGGAUGAAAGGUACCCCGGGGAUAACAGGCUGAUCUUGCCCAAGAGUCCAUAUCGACGGCAUGGUUUGGCACCUCGAUGUCGGCUCGUCGCAUCCUGGGGCUGGAGUAGGUCCCAAGGGUUGGGCUGUUCGCCCAUUAAAGCGGUACGCGAGCUGGGUUUAGAACGUCGUGAGACAGUUCGGUCCCUAUCCUCUGCGCGCGCAGGAAACUUGAGAAGGGCUGUCCCUAUUACGAGAGGACCUGGAUGGACGAACCUCUGGUGUGUCAGUUGUUCUGCCAAGAGCACCGCUGAUUAGCUACGUUCGGGAGUGAUAACCGCUGAAAGCAUCUAAGCGGGAAGCAUGCUUCAAGAUGAGGUUUCCAUGGGGUUUACCCCGAGAGGCUCCCAGCUAGACUACUGGGUUGAUAGGCCGGAUGUGGAAGUGCGGCAACGCAUGGAGCUGACCGGUACUAAUAAGCCGAU